rnacentral:rRNA from 1 species
UGGACAACCGACGGAAACUCGGGCUAAUACCGGAUGUUUUGCACACUCAUAAGGGUGUGUAGGAAAGGUAGCUUCGGCUUCCGCAUCGGGAGGGGCUCGCGGCCCAUUAGCUUGUUGGUGAGGUAACGGCUCACCAAGGCAACGAUGGGUAGCUGGUCUGAGAGGACGAUCAGCCACACUGGGACUGAGACACGGCCCAG